rnacentral:rRNA from 1 species
AUGGCGCCACCGCAGCAAGCCUCGCCACGCCCGAUUCUCACCGUCCGCGAGACCACUCUCGUAGCGCCCUCGACGAGCACCGGCGCCGCCCCGCCGGAGUGCUCCCUACCGCUCACCUUCUUCGACAUCUUCUGGCUCAACCUCCCACCGGUCGAGCGCGUCUUCUUCUACCGCCUCGCCGCCGACGCCGACGUCCCCGCCAUCCUCUCCAACCUCAAGGCCUCACUGUCCCAAGCCCUCCACGCCUACUACCCGCUCGCCGGCCGCCUCCGCCUCGCGCCUGGCACGGCUGACCGCUACGAGAUCCACUACCAGCCGGGCGACGGCGUCACCUUCACCGUCGCCGAGUACCGUGGUGACGUCGACGUCGACGAGCUGGCCGUCGACCAGCCGCGGGAGAUCACCAGGAUCGCGCCGCUCGCGCCGCCACUCCCGAAGGGCGGCGCCGUGCUCGCGCUGCAGGCCACCGUGAUGCGCCGUGGCCUCGCCAUCGGCAUGGCCGUGCACCACACCGCCUGCGACGGGGCGGCCUCCACGCGCUUCCUGCACACCUGGGCGGCGGCGGCCAGCGCCGGUGCCGUCGAGCCACCACCACCUGUCAUCGACAGAAUCCUCGUGAAGGACCCAACGGCUCUCUACGACGUCUUCGUCAAAGCCAAGCCGACCGUCGGCGAGAUGGAUCGCGUCAAGACGUGGGAGCACCGACUUCUCGCCGGGCGGCGAGGCGCGGCGCCGCCGCGAUGCUCCUCGUUGGUGGCCACCUUCGGCUUCAUGUGGUCAUGCCACCAGCGAGCCAAAGACGAUGCAGGAAGCACCGGCGGCGACCCGACAUACUUGCUCUUCCCCGUCGACCACCGCUCGCGGAUGAAGCCCCCCGUCCCGGAGGAGUACCUCGGCAACUGCGUCGGCAUCGCCACGCAUGCCGCACCCAUGGACCAGCUCGCGGCAGCCGGCGCCAGUGGCCUCUUCGUCGCGUGCACGGCGGUAGCUGCGGCGAUCGACGAAGCGGUGCGCGGCAUCGGGUCACCUGAGACGGUUGCGUUGUGGAUGCAUCGGGUCAGGGAGGCUGGCGUUGCCGGUAUGUGGACGGUGGCCGGGUCGCCGAGGUUCCGCGUGUACGAGGUGGACUUUGGGUUCGGGCGGCCGGCCAAGGUGGAGAUCGUCUCCGUGGCGAGAACCGGCGCGAUGGCGGCGGCAGAGGGCCGGAGCAGCCGCGGAGGCAUCGAGGUGGGCAUCUCUCUGCCGGCGGCCGGCAUGCAGAGGUUCCAAAAGUGCUUCCAAGAUGCCAUUGACUGGCUUCAUCACCAGUAA